rnacentral:rRNA from 1 species
CCUACGGGAGGCAGCAGUAGGGAAUCUUCCGCAAUGGACGAAAGUCUGACGGAGCAACGCCGCGUGAGUGAUGAAGGCCUUCGGGUCGUAAAGCUCUGUUGUUAGGGAAGAACAAGUGUCGUUCGAAUAGGGCGGUACCUUGACGGUACCUAACCAGAAAGCCACGGCUAACUACGUGCCAGCAGCCGCGGUAAUACGUAGGUGGCAAGCGUUAUCCGGAAUUAUUGGGCGUAAAGCGCGCGCAGGUGGUUUCUUAAGUCUGAUGUGAAAGCCCACGGCUCAACCGUGGAGGGUCAUUGGAAACUGGGAGACUUGAGUGCAGAAGAGGAAAGUGGAAUUCCAUGUGUAGCGGUGAAAUGCGUAGAGAUAUGGAGGAACACCAGUGGCGAAGGCGACUUUCUGGUCUGUAACUGACACUGAGGCGCGAAAGCGUGGGGAGCAAACAGGAUUAGAUACCCUGGUAGUCCACGCCGUAAACGAUGAGUGCUAAGUGUUAGAGGGUUUCCGCCCUUUAGUGCUGAAGUUANCGCAUUAAGCACUCCGCCUGGGGAGUACNGCCNCAAGACUGAAACUCAAAUGAAUUGACGGGG